AACGCACAUUGCGCCCCUUGGUAUUCCGAGGGGCAUGCCUGUUCGAGCGUCAUUAUGACCACUCAAGCCUAGCUUGGUAUUGGGGUUCGCGGUCUCGCGGCCCUUAAAAUCAGUGGCGGUGCCAUCUGGCUCUAAGCGUAGUAAUUUUAUCUCGCUAUUGGGUCCGGUGGUUGCUUGCCAAUAACCCCCAACUUCUAAGGUUGACCUCGGAUCAGGUAGGGAUACCCGCUGAACUUAA
rnacentral:misc_RNA from 1 species